rnacentral:rRNA from 1 species
CACAAACGACUCUCGGCAACGGAUAUCUCGGCUCUCGCAUCGAUGAUUUCAUCGAUUUGAGAACGCAGCGAAAUGCGAUACUUGGUGUGAAUUGCAGAAUCCCGUGAACCAUCGAGUCUUUGAACGCAAGUUGCGCCCGAAGCCGUCAGGCCGAGGGCACGUCUGCCUGGGCGUCACGCAUCGCGUCGCCCCCUCCC